rnacentral:tmRNA from 1 species
GGGACUGUUUGGUAUCGACAGAUUAUGUCUGAUCCAAUAUGCAUGCCGAGCAUGGACGUACUCUCGUAAACCGUCGUCCACAACGAUAUCUGGAAACAGCAUCGCUAAGGUGAAGUCACCAUUUGCUAACGCAUUUGGCUUCGCUCCAGCACUCGCCUAACUUAGGUCAGUCUGGUGUCGUCAUACUUGAUACUCAAUAGAGUACUGACGGCAACAUGCAUUGAGUGUAGGUAGUACUGGUCGUCUCACCAGUGCGCCGAAGUGAUGAGGCUCGGAAGUUGAUCGUUUUGUGUACUCUUUAGAUCAUCUUCUUCAACACAGAGAACACUACGCAUGGAGAUUUGUUGGGUCGCAUAUUCUACACGGGGGUUCGAUUCCCCCCAGUUCCACCG